UACGUAGGGUGCAAGCGUUAAUCGGAAUUACUGGGCGUAAAGCGUGCGCAGGCGGUGAUGUAAGACAGGUGUGAAAUCCCCGGGCUUAACCUGGGAACUGCAUUUGUGACUGCAUCGCUGGAGUGCGGCAGAGGGGGAUGGAAUUCCGCGUGUAGCAGUGAAAUGCGUAGAUAUGCGGAGGAACACCGAUGGCGAAGGCAAUCCCCUG
rnacentral:rRNA from 1 species